UGCUAUGCAGAGUACAUGCUGCUCCCCAAGAUGCCAGAGCAAACAGGAGCAGGGGAGGCAGAGAAUGAAAAGGCACGCAUUGAUGAAAGAAGUGGAGGCUACCCGAGUUUCUAUCAACCCAGGACCCCUAGAGCAGCAGGCUGAGUACAGAAGCUGUUCCAGGUGAAAAAGCAAAGCCACUGAGGAACCCUUGACCUCUACAACACUCC